AGCUCCAAUAGCGUAUAUUAAAGUUGUUGCAGUUAAAAAGCUCGUAGUUGGAUUUCUGGUGGGGGUGUUUGGCCGGCUCAAUGAGUUUUGCGCCUAUACGUCUCCGCCAUCCUUGGGGAAAACUUGCUUGGCAUUAGGUUGUCGAGUUUGGGAUCCCCAUCGUUUACUGUGAAAAAAUUAGAGUGUUCAAAGCAGGCUUAUGCCGUUGAAUACAUUAGCAUGGAAUAAUAAGAUAGGACCUUGGUACUAUUUUGUUGGUUUGCGUACCUAGGUAAUGAUUAAUAGGGACAGUUGGGGGUAUUCGUAUUCAAUUGUCAGAGGUGAAAUUCUUGGAUUUAUGGAAGACGAACUACUGCGAAAGCAUUUACCAAGGAUGUUUUCAUUA
rnacentral:rRNA from 1 species